ensembl:lncRNA
GAGGGGGGGCAACUGGGGAAGGGGGAGAGUGCAAGGGGAGUGGUUGUGCAAGGGGAAAGUGUGCAAAAGGGGGGGCUUGUGCAUGGAGAAGUGUGCAUGGGGAGCUGUUGUGCAAGGGGGAAGUGUGCAAGGGCAGAGUGGAUGUGCAAGGGAAAGUGCACAAAGGGGACGUGUUUGUGCAAGGAGGAAGUGUGGAAGGGGAGCGCUUGUGCAAGGGGAAAAGUGCUCAGGGAGCGCUUGUGUGUGAGGGAAGUGUGCAAAGGGGGUGUGUUUGUGCAAGGGAAUGUGUGCAAGGGGCACACCGGUGUAAGGGGGAAGUGUCCAAAGGGGGAGUGUUUGUGCAAGGGGAAAGUGCAAGGGAGCACUUGUGCAAGGUAAAGUGUGCAAGGGGAAAGCAUUAACGUGAGGACAAAGUGUGGAAGGGGAAGUGUUUGUGCAAGGGGAAGUGUGCUAGGGGAGGGCUUGUGCAAGGGGGUAGUGUGGAAGGGGAGCACUUGUGCAAGGGAGAAAUGUGCAAGGGGGUGCACCUGUGGAAGGGUGAAGGGUGGAAGGGGGAGUGCUUGUGCAAGGGAGAGCGUGUAAGUGGGGCAAUUGUGCAAGGAGAAAUGUGCAAGUGGGGAGCAUUCAUGCAAGAGUAACAUGUGCAAGGGUACUACUUGUGCAAGGGAGAAGAAGUGUGCUAGGAGAGUGUGCGAGGGGGAAGAGUGUAAGGGGGAAAUGUGGAAGGGGGUGCUUGUGCAAGGGGAAAGCACUCAUGCAGGGGGAAAGUGCAACGGGGAAUGCUUGUGCAAGGGGAAGGGCUCGUGUGAAGAGUGCUCACACAAGGGGGUAGGCGGUCGCUGUGGGAGAGGUCCUGUGCUUGUGCAGCUGGUGGGAAAGGGGGAGGAAUUGUGUUCUGUGCAAUAUCCUUGUGCAACCCCUCCUCUGCAGUGUCCCUGUGCAAACCCAUAGUGCAAACCCCUCGUGCAAAGCCUAUCUGCAUGACCUUAAUGCAACCCCUCAUACAACCCCCCCUUCACCCCAUCUUGUGCAAGCCCCCUGUGCCAUGUCCCUGUGCAAACGCUGCCUGCAAACCCUUCUUGCACAUCCUUUGUGUAAACCCCUUGUGCAAACUUCUUGUACACCCCCUCCUUAGAAACCCAAUUUGCACAAGCCUCGUGCAAACCCCUGGUGUGAGUCUUCCAUGCAACCCCCUCAUGGAAGCCCACCGUGCAAAACUCACCUGCAAACAACCUGGGGAAACCCCUCGUGCAAGCAGUGCAAACCUCACCUGCAAAUCUGUCGUGCAAAUCCCUUGUACAUCCCCAUGCAAACAACAUCUGCAAACCACGUGUGCAAACCCCUUGUGCAAAUGCCUUGUAUAUCCCCCUGUGCAAAACCCAUAUGCAACCCCUCGUGCAAAUCUGUUGUGCAAAACUCUUGUGCAAAUCCCUUGCGUGAUGUCCCCAUGCAGACAACAGCUUCAAAUCCCUUGUGCACCCCUUGUGCAAAUCCAUUGUGCAAUCUUUCUGCACAAGCAACAUCUGCAAAUCCCUUGUGCAACCCCCCGUGCAAAACCCCAGUGCAAACACCAUCAGCAAGCCCCUCGUGCAAAUCUCUCAUGCAACCCCCUAGUGCAGUCUCCCUGUGCAAGCAACAUCUGCAACCCCCUUGUGCAACCCUACGUGCAACACCCAUGUGCAAACCCACCUGCACAACCCUUGUGCAAACCCCACCCGCACAACCACCGUGUGAACCCCUUGUGCAAACCCCACGUGCACCACCCUUGUGCGCACCCCUCGUGUGACUCUCGCUCGCAACCCCCUCGUGCAAUGCCCCCCCCGUCGUGCACGACCCCUCGUGCGAGCCGUGCUCCCUCCCCACAGCGGAGGUGCUGCUGGCGGAGGAGCCCCAGGACCCCAAGUGCUUUUCACGACUGCUGCACGACUUGACGUGCUUCUGGGACAGCGACGCCCCCCCGGACCCGCAGCGCUUCCACCUGCACUUCCGCCUCGAGUGCGUGCCGC